GCAAAGGUCACUGUUAGCUGCUUUAUCUAGCUAGCUUGCUCUGAGGAGGCCAGGAGGCCAUGAACUGGAGAAAACAAAUCCUUAGAGAAGAACGUUCUUUUCUCCUUGCUUUCUACUCAGCCCAUGACUUCUCACCACUGCAAUUGUCUUCUCUCCUGACCUUGUUCUCCUCCUUGCUGCCAGUUUACUCUGUGGAAUCACUGACUCAGUCAGUCAGCCAGUCUGUCGGUCAGUCCACACACAUAUAUACCAGGUGCUAGGGUCUGUGGGUGGACGCCAUUAAAUAAGCAGAUUAUAGUUUUCACUUAGUCUAAGGAAGAGUUUUCCAACAGUCAAUUCACUACUAAAAGGAGCUCGCCCUCCAUGAGGGAAAAUGUGUGACUGCUUGAACCAGCAACAGCCAGCUAGGAUGCUUCCGGAGGAUUCUUGCAUCAUGCGUGGCUUGGCUAAGCAUUGGACGACUUACCAUCUGUCUAGACUGAGCCGAAGGGGUGAGAAAAAUCGCAACGUGAAUUCUCUGGAGCGGCGACACCGUGGAGAGGAGACAGAGCCUGUGAUGAUGCUUCCUCUGAUAUGCCCAGGCCAUGGCUCGAUUCACCCCCCAAAAAAGGCACGCGUCCUCCUCAACCAGAACGAAAGAGUGCUGUUCUAUAAAACUGCCGUUAAUCAGGGAGAAUUGACAAGGGAAAUAUCUGUCAGAAAGACCCUUCUUACAAUUGAGACCUAGCCUGUUGUAGGAGGUGAGGUAAUUUCUUCUCAAGCUUCUGGUAUCCAGGGAGAAAAAGGAACAACAAAACAAGGUCUGUUAUUAAAGGUGUGAGAGUCUCUGGGUAUUUUCUGUUAGUCAAGAGACCUCAAGGAAGGUUAAUUCUGGGCUGAAAGCAAACCUUUGUCGAGGAUUUCAUUUUAGAAGGUUCAAAAGACACCAGGGAGAGAGGGAGAACAAGAGGCAGGAAGAGGCAUGCACAGAAAGAGGGAGAGAGAUGAAGGGAGGGAGAAGCAGGAGAGCCUGGCCUUGCUGAGAUGUCACAGGAGAGAGUCACAGAUACAGCCUCCAGCAGUUUGAUCACUGGAAAAAUGUCUGUUAAGAGUUGAUGCAAUGGAAGAGAGAAAUUUCUGGAUUUAUUAUUUUUUUAAAGGUGUGCCUUUGCUCCUGCUGCUCUGUUCACCUGGAAUGCCCUAUCCCUGUCCAGCUUUAGCCUCUCUGUUCUAAAAG